UACCAUGCAGUCGAGCGGUAGAGAGAAGCUUGCUUCUCUUGAGAGCGGCGGACGGGUGAGUAAUGCCUAGGAAUCUGCCUGGUAGUGGGGGAUAACGUUCGGAAACGGACGCUAAUACCGCAUACGUCCUACGGGAGAAAGCAGGGGACCUUCGGGCCUUGCGCUAUCAGAUGAGCCUAGGUCGGAUUAGCUAGUUGGUGAGGUAAUGGCUCACCAAGGCGACGAUCCGUAACUGGUCUGAGAGGAUGAUCAGUCACACUGGAACUGAGACACGGUCCAGACUCCUACGGGAGGCAGCAGUGGGGAAUAUUGGACAAUGGGCGAAAGCCUGAUCCAGCCAUGCCGCGUGUGUGAAGAAGGUCUUCGGAUUGUAAAGCACUUUAAGUUGGGAGGAAGGGUUGUAGAUUAAUACUCUGCAAUUUUGACGUUACCGACAGAAUAAGCACCGGCUAACUCUGUGCCAGCAGCCGCGGUAAUACAGAGGGUGCAAGCGUUAAUCGGAAUUACUGGGCGUAAAGCGCGCGUAGGUGGUUCGUUAAGUUGGAUGUGAAAGCCCCGGGCUCAACCUGGGAACUGCAUUCAAAACUGACGAGCUAGAGUAUGGUAGAGGGUGGUGGAAUUUCCUGUGUAGCGGUGAUAUGCGUAGAUAUAGGAAGGAACACCAGUGG
rnacentral:rRNA from 1 species